rnacentral:lncRNA from 1 species
AGGGCACAGACCCAGGAGCGAGAUAGGAUUCAAGUCAUGGUUCUACCAGUUACAGCUGCGUGACCUUGGAGCCUUGCUGAUCCUGCCAGUUUCUCCUGCCUUCCAAGCACUCUGUGCCGACAGCCACCGAGACAUCCCUGAGCAGCAGAAAUGAAAUCAGUCACCACACCCUGGUGUCUGCAGGACUCCCACUGAGAAAAGUCUCAUUCACGGCUAAUCAGAACUAGAAUUCUCAUACUUUUCCCCACCCCGCCCAACAAACAGCAGAGCACAGAAAAAGAACAGCCGGAUUUCCAUGGCCCUGCAUUGUUGGUGACAUCUUCUCUUUGUUACCAUCCAGAAGAGAACUGCUGCACUGACAGGAGGCAGGCAGACACCCCCAGAGCGCCACAACACCUGCAGCCAGAGACCUAAUGCAAAACAAAACCAAACCUCAGGCUGAAUGUGAUUUUCUGUGUGAUAGGGAAGAAAAUGAGAUAGAGAAAUGUGACCGAGCACGUGUGCAGAUACGUUCAGGGGCACAAGUCUGAAUGGUCAACUCAAAAAUGUCAUUCACACUCUCAGACGAGUUCAGAGGCUACCUCAUUGGUGGGGAGGCGGAUUUUAAGCAAAUCAUAUAAAU